rnacentral:piRNA from 1 species
GACUUGGCCUCUAACAACUCAGG